AACGAACGCUGGCGGCAUGCCUAACACAUGCAAGUCGAACGAGACCUUCGGGUCUAGUGGCGCACGGGUGCGUAACGCGUGGGAACCUGCCCUUAGGUUCGGAAUAACUCCCCGAAAGGGGUGCUAAUACCGGAUAAUGUCUUCGGACCAAAGAUUUAUCGCCUUUGGAUGGGCCCGCGUUGGAUUAGCUAGUUGGUAGGGUAAAAGCCUACCAAGGCGACGAUCCAUAGCUGGUCUGAGAGGAUGAUCAGCCACACUGGGACUGAGACACGGCCCAGACUCCUCCGGGAGGCAGCAGUGGGGAAGAUUGGACAAUGGGCGAGAGCUGAAGCCAGCAAUGCCGCGUGAGUGAUGAAGGAGUUAGGGUUGAAAAGCUCUUUUACCCGGGAUGAUAAGGAGAGUACCGGGAGAAUAAGCUCCGGCUAACUCCG
rnacentral:rRNA from 1 species